rnacentral:rRNA from 1 species
UCACACCCGUUCCCAUCCCGAACACGGUCGUUAAGCUCUUCAGCGCCGAUGGUAAUUGGGGGCUUCCCCCUGUGAGAGUAGGACGCUGCCAGGC